rnacentral:rRNA from 1 species
GACGAACGCUGGCGGCGUGCUUAACACAUGCAAGUCGAACGGAAAGGCCCUGCUUUUGUGGGGUGCUCGAGUGGCGAACGGGUGAGUAACACGUGAGUAACCUGCCCUUGACUUUGGGAUACUUCAGGAAACUGGGGCUAAUACCGGAUAGGAGCUCCUGCUGCAUGGUGGGGGUUGGAAAGUUUCGGCGGUUGGGGAUGGACUCGCGGCUUAUCAGCUUGUUGGUGGGGUAGUGGCUUACCAAGGCUUUGACGGGUAGCCGGCCUGAGAGGGUGACCGGCCACAUUGGGACUGAGAUACGGCCCAGACUCCUACGGGAGGCAGAAGUGGGGAAUAUUGCACAAUGGGCGGAAGCCUGAUGCAGCAACGCCGCGUGCGGGAUGACGGCCUUCGGGUUGUAAACCGCUUUCGCCUGUGACGAAGCGUGAGUGACGGUAAUGGGUAAAGAAGCACCGGCUAACUACGUG